GUGCAAGCCAGCAGUACAGUACAGUGAUAGCUGAUUCACCUUCCUGGUCUCUAUUUUUCUUCGAAUUUACCGUUUUCUUCAUGUAUUGUGAUAUCCGAAUUCUGUUUUCGACAACUUCAGACUAUAAGGGAACCAGAACUGUGUUAUUUUGCCCGGUUUUUAUUGAAUUGUGAACUGGAAAGAUCGAUUUUGUCCACUCGACAGUCUUCGUUGUGUUGCUCUACUAACUAUUGAAAAACUCCAAGCUGCACGGUCCCAUUCACUUGCUCCCGAUGCAUGUUGCAGGUUACGCUGUUUGAUCCAGUCAAAAGUCAAGAUCUACACACUUGCUGACUCUGGUGACUUCUGGUCUCUGCUUGCUACCUCAAUCUGGGAGAUUCCAUCAUGUCCUUUUACUAUGAUUUGGAUAUAGCCAUUUUUUUCUUCACUCUUUCCAGGACCUACGGUUUGCAAGUUGUGGACUGAUAAUGAUACAAAAGAAAAAAUUUCUUUAUCAAUCUUGCAGUGCCCCAUAAUUAUGUUUUGUUAUCAGAUAUUUAACGUGCUGAUUUUUCUCGAAAGGUAACUCAUCGGUUCGAUGUCUGAAAGAGUUACCCUACUGGAUGAGGGAUCUAUCAUGUCAGUUGUUGCUUGUUCACAUCAGGAAGGACCUGCAGACUGAAUAAUGAGGAUCAUAAUGAUGCCGGUUGUUGUGGUUUGCAGAGUGAAGGACUUUUGGCAGAAACAAAAGAUUUUUAGCUAUAUAGUUGAACCUGGGGUCUUUGUGACGUAUCAGGAUUCUGAAAUUAUAAGAGUAGAUUUUUGGUAGCAGAUAUAGGCCUGUCUGUUAUAACACGCACAUGUAGAUUUUGCUAUUGGAUCAUUUAUUUACCGAUUGUCAGUUGAAGACGUUAUUUUUAUUAAUUCAAACGUAAUGCAUAAUUUUUUUUUUUUCUGAUUUAAAAUGAGAUUUGGAUAGUAUUUUCAAAUAUUUAAUUUAUACAAGCUCAAUUUUUUAUAUUCUGACGUGAAAACUGGACCAAAUAUACCUAGAAUGGUUGUGUGAGCGCGAAGUUUUAUUUCAUAAUAAUUAUUUUUGUAUUGAUAUUAAUAGAACAGUUCGGAUUUACAUAUUUUAAGCAUGCCUUACAUAGCAGGAACUGAAUAGAUCAGUUGAGUAGAAAUAGAUUUCCAUGAACACUUUAGUACUAUAUAAUGUACUAGUCCACCCCAACGAAAAGCUGAUUAGAAUAAGAGAAAAACCCAAUUAAAAUCUGAUGGAAAGUUAUGCUUAAUUUCAUAAAAUAGUUAUAUGCACAUCCUGGAUGGUAUGCAAAUGAGAUUAUGACGUCAUUCACUCACUAUUUUUAUUGUAUAUUAUUAUAAGUGAUACAACGAUUAAUAUCUGAACAUGUGGAAUUAAAUUAGGAGUGGGCUAUACAUGGGUCAAAAAAACUUUUUUUGUCAUUUUAAUAUGGUAACAGUUUUUUAUUUAUUGCUUGUAAUGUAUCUCAACAUGAAAUGACAAUAUUUUUUGUCUCCGAUCCGAGAAAAAAGUGCCGGGCCAAAUACCAAAACCCCCCAAAUCACAGUUUUGGCCUUUUUCUCUGGUUUUGGUGUCUAUUCAUAUGUUUUACUUAAAAAACAGUAUUUGUAGAGGUAAAAGGUGAUUUCACCUAAAUUUACAAAUUUUUAAACCCUGUUCUAUCGUCUUGUGGUUCUUGGGUAUGGACCAUAGCAAGUAGUUUCAUAUAGCUUUAUUGCUCUUAUUCCUCUACUUUAUGUUUUAUGGAUUUUUGCGAAAUAUAUUUUAUUAAUUUAAAAAAGUCAUUUAUCCAUAGGGGCUAUAUAUACAGUAUAGUACAAUGCAUAGUGUUAUAGAAAUGAGCUCUUGAAUUAUGCCUCAGAAAUUGAAGAUACUGUAUAUUUUGUCCCAGGAAUUGAAGACAUGUUUUGCAAUAUGCUCAUGCAGGGGGCGGAGAGAGGAAAAUAGUCAACCCCACAUUAUGUCAUUUACACUGUGGCUAUUUUGUUACGCUUAUUGUAACUUUGCCAUCCAAUCCUGGAUUCUGAUUGGCCAUUGAUCAGCAUUACCAUGGUAGUUACCUUAUAGUCCAGGAUAGGCCCCAUAGAAAAUUGACCAAACCUUGUUUUUUUAUAUAUACAAUAUUUUUUGAUGGUUUCUUGUCAAUUCGAGGGUGCUGAUUACGAAUCUGGAUGAUGCCACUCGUGUAACCUUGAGCAUUUUCCGCAAAUUGGCAAAAUCCAAUAUGGCCGCCAAAAUAUGCAAAUUACCCAUGAAAAUCAUAAAAUUGUGUGGCAGGAGUGAAAUACUUUCUGAAAAAAUUAAUUUUUGACAAAAUAUUUUUUCCUGAUAUUAAAAAUGGCCGCCAUAUGCCAUUGCAUACUCUAUUUUGUACAAUAUGAAUAGGGAAAACUAAUUUCCACAAAAAAUGAGCACUAAACUGCAAAAAUCGCGAUGUAUGAACAAAGUAAUAUUUGCAAAUUACUAACGAGAUAUAUCAUAUCAUAUAUAGGAACAUUGCUGUAUUUUGAUAUCUAAAAUAGUCGCCACUGGCCCAAAGAGUAUUAUGAACAAUGGCAAUGACUGGGGCCAACAAAAAUGCAUAUUAUUAAGAUAAACGAGUGGAAUACUGACUAAAACAUAAUUCUUAGUGUGCCAUUUAUGUGAUAAAUACUGUAUUUUGAAAUUCAAAAUGGCCACCAUAGACCCUAUAUUUAUCAUGUACAAUGCGAAUGGAGAAACUAAUUUUCACCCGAGUAAGAAACAAAAAAUGCAUGUAAUUGUGAUCUACGAGUAAAAUAUUGUCUGAUUCACAUGUUAUUAUAUACAAUGUGAAAAGGGACAUAUUUUUGUAAGAAUUUGCUUGACUAUGACAUCCAUUAUAAUCCUGUUGUAUGAGUAAAAUGUUAUUUGAAAACAUUUUUUUUUUUUAAUUAUAGCAUUUCUUCUGCCAUAUAGGUGAUAAAUACUUUAUUUUGACAUAAAAAAUAACCUCUACAAGCCCUAACUAAAAUGUAACAUGUGAAAAUAUUGUCUUAAACAUAAUAUCACAUAUUGGUCGUGGAGGUAAUUGCUAUACUUUGAAAUCCAAAAUAGCUGCCAUAGGUCCUAAAAGUCAUUGUGUACAUUGUAACAUGCUGGGACAUAUAAUUGACAGAAUUUGGCAUUGCUUGACAAAACCAUGGUUUCUAACUAGAUAUAUCAUAAUGUUGUGUAAUUAAGGAGAUAAAUGCUGCAUUUUAAAAUUGAAAAUGACCACCAUAGGCCCUUAUUGUAUAAUAUAGAAUUUGAGUGGAGAUGCAGCCAUUUUGAAAUGCAGUAUUUAUCACCUAAAAAGAUAUGAUAUCUUUUGUUCAUGUUUUCAGACAAUAUUUCAUUCAUACAUCACCAUUUGGCCAAGCAAAGCCAAAUUCUGUUAAAAUGAUUUGUUCCCAUUCUGCAUAAUAUCGUAAGGGCCUGUAGCGGCCAUUGUGAUUUUCAAAUAACAAUAUUUUACAUGCAUUUAUGGUGCUCACUAUUAGUUUCCCACUUUUCAUGUACCAAAUACAGUUAAUUCUUUGGCGGCCAUUUUGAAAGUCAUAUUUUGAGAAAACUUUUUCACAAAUAUUUCACUCAUAUUUAGAUUUGUAACAAGCCUCCAAAUGAAGAACCUAAUUAAUAGCCUUUUAUCAACACAGAUUUUUUUCCGGACUUUUAUGUUAAGGAUGUAUUGUGAUGAAAUAAAACACGAUUGAAGUCCUG